ACAUACGUGAGUCUGAGCAAUUGUUAAAGAUCUAAAAAUAAAUCUAAAAGCUGUGAGCGCAAAGUCUUGUGAAUACAACUCUUCACUGCGACGACUACGAAUUCAGGUUUGUGGGUUCGAGUCGGAAAGCGUUGAAAUGACGUCACUGGGGUCACAGGCAGGUCACAGGGGAAAGUAAUCGAACCGCGAUUUUCCCAACUGCGCAUGCUCCAAAUCCAAAGAUGGCUAACGACAGUGAACCGGGCGAGUCAGCGUCACAGAAACGCUGGCAGAGAUCGAAAACAGACUCUUUGUUGGAGGUCAGAUAAGAAAGGGAAGAAUCCUGUUAAUUGUCUCAACAGUUUGGACUCUAACUACUUCAGGUGUGUAGUGAAAUUUCUCUUGUGUGUUUUCUUUUAGUAUAUUAAUUGCAAUACUGUUUAAACCUGUCUUAUAUCAUUGUAAAUAUUUUCAGGCAGCCUGUAUGCUGUGUUGUUUUGUUUUGGUUAGGAGAGAUCAUGGCAGCUGGCCUGGCACAAGGCGGACCUCGCCCCAACUUCAUGCGCAAGUGGUGCUUCAGAUAUCUGCUCCGGUGACUCUGACGCCAUACAAGCGUCUGCCAGUGAUGUAACAGAUUUCAAACUGUCACAGCUUAUUGAGAGGAUUAACAGCAUUGAUAAUGACAACAUCAGUGACCUGGUUGAUGAUAUUGUGACCUGUGGAUACUCCGGAAUCGUGAGACAGCAUGAUAAGGUAUGUUGGUUUUCAUUAAGACAAGGGUGUAUUGUACAAGAAUUUGUGACUUGAAUUAGGGUACUUGUUUGGCCGUGUCUAAAACAUAGAUUACAAGUAACAUGACAUUGGUUUCAUGCAAAGCUGUGUCGUUAAACUUCUUUACAUGUCACCAAAUAAAAAUAUUUUUCAAGUAGUUCUGUCUUUUUUCCUGUACAUGUAACAGGUGUACCACUAAAGUUCAGUCUCCUGGUUGUCCUUUAGAUCUGUUGUACUUCACUCCACCAUGAGUCAUCCUGAUGCUCGACCAGCAAAGUCCUGCAACUGUAUGACCUACCCGAACUCAUGAAGACCCAUCAAGACUUCUGCCUACCACUGUUUGUUCCAGGGGAAGAUGAUGAGGUAUAUUCUUAGUUUGAGACUGCCUUUAAUUAAGCAUGAAUGUUUUUUGCAAGAAUUCCUUCUUCUUAAUGGCAGAUGCAAACGUCGUCCUGGAGAGUAGCAAAAGCAAAGCAACAUGCUUGUCCCUGGGAAUUUUGUCCUUAGGGUGGACCAGUUUCUGUCUAAGCAUGGUCAUGGGUUUGAAGUGAACCGGUAUGUCAUGGUUAUUAAAGAUUCUGCAUAAUUUCUAUGAUACUCCUGACACAUAAGGAGUAACAAUGUCCUUCCUCUUCCUGUUAAUGUCCUUCUUCUUGUUGGUGGGUCUCUGUGUAGUUUUUGCUUUAUCAAAUGUUCUUAUACUGAAAAAGGUCAAUGUGAUUUGUGUAUAUUGUGUUUACGUAAGGGAAUUUAUCAACUUGAAAACCAAACUGUAUUAUUUUCAGUUCAGACUAACACUGUGUUAUUCUCUUCAUUAAGAACAAAAGGGCCCCAGCAACAACAGUGUUACCCCAGAAGGCUUGACUGUAGGACGCAUCACGCAGUGGAUGACUGGACAAAGACACAAGCCUGUUCUGCCAAGCGAAAAGAAGGACUUUGUCAUACAUAUGAAAUUCCACCAUGAUUGUGACACACAACACACUGUUUGUUUUCCAACUGUAAGUGCUUGCAGUCGUACAGUCACAUUCCCCUCAGCUCACCUGAAAACAUACAGUGAAUUCAGAAACAUGACACUAGCAAACUUUUGUCAGGGUCUAACCACUCAGUGUAAAGGAAAACAACAAAGUCACUGCAACAUGUGUAAUCAUGUUUUGUUGUUAUACGUUGAUGUUAUAUUGUGACAUCUUCCUGUUUCAGUCAACUUUUUUGUAUUCACUGUUAGAAAACAAUUGUUUUUCUUUUAAUAAUGGUUUACUCCAAAGUUAGUUUUUGCUCCAUGUUACUCUUCAGGGUACCCACGGUAAUUUUUGGUUUUCACAAAUUUAACUCUGAUGAAUGUAAUGGAAAUUUCAUGGGAAAGUCCAAAAUGUUUUUCAAUAAAAAUGUUUGCGACUCCUGUCUCAUAUUAAAGUCUUGUUACAUCUCAGGCAUUUCUUGUGUUGCACUUAGACUUUCAAGACAUUGAACCCUUGUUAUGUAAAUGUAUCAGCCAAAUGAUUCUAAUGAUGCCAAGGGAUUUAUCAUGGACUGUACACUUUCCAGAAUGUACGGAUUCAGGGGGCACUCAAUUUCCUGGACUUGAACUCCAUAUGGUUCCUCAUGCACAGCAUCAAACAUCUCCCAGUCAGUUCCAAAUAGUUCCAUGCUCUGGAAAAAGAUAGAAAAAAGAUAUUCUUUUUAAUAUUAUUUUGUAUGAAACAGUAUUUGUUAGCUUCAUAUAACUGCCUAAGUCAUAUUUUAAGAUUUUUAACAUUAUGGUUCACGGU